rnacentral:rRNA from 1 species
GACGGAGGAUGCAAGCGUUAUCCGGAAUGAUUGGGCGUAAAGCGUCCGCAGGUGGCAGUUCAAGUCUGCUGUCAAAGACCGGGGCUUAACUUCGGAAAGGCAGUGGAAACUGAACAGCUAGAGUAUGGUAGGGGCAGAGGGAAUUCCUGGUGUAGCGGUGAAAUGCGUAGAUAUCAGGAAGAACAUCGGUGGCGAAGGCGCUCUGCUGGACCAUAACUGACGCUAAGGGACGAAAGCUAGGGGAGCGAAUGGG